CAAAACAGCCGUUUAUAAAUCUAAGCGCGUGUUCAGACCAAACUGACUAUACGCCGCCGAAUGUGAGCAGGGCGCAGGCUCACUGUGAGCCCCAGUGUGAACGUGAAAAUCAUACGGAAUAUUAUGCGGUAUCGAAUGUCCGCGCCUACGCCUAGCGUAAUGGCGUAUUGUCGGUUAGGUGUGAACGAAAAAGUGAAUACGUAUAGAAAUACAAUAACCUGCGUAGCGUUCGCUCACAUUCGGUGGCUCACAGUCGGUUUGGUGUGAACACGGCCUAAGAGGGGACGCACGGCGCC